rfam:Triticum aestivum genome assembly, contig: Triticum_aestivum_CS42_TGACv1_scaffold_579827_7BL
CAUAUACUCCCUCCGUCCGGAAAUACUUGUCAUCAAAAUGGAUAAAAUGGAAUGUAUCUAGAUGUGUUUUAGUUGUAGAUAAAUCUCUUUCUAUUCAUUUUGAUGACAAGUAUUUUCGGACGGAGGGAGUAUUUA